ACCAAAUACAACUACCAACACACC
rnacentral:siRNA from 1 species